GAAAUCGAGUGGUAUUUUAACUACUGAAAUGGCGUUCAGCAGUUGUUAUUUUGAUUUAUAUCGAUAGAAAAUGGUUGAAUCUUCAUUAAAAGUAUUUAUUUAACGCAAUUUUCGUUGGAAAACAUAGCUAACCAUGCAUUUGAAAGUCACUGAAUUUUACGGAAAAAUGGCGGUUGCCGAUAAAAGUCACGUGACCUGAACCCUUUAAUCAUGGUCGACUGGAUAAUGUCCAAUUAGAGAUACCCGAGAUGUCAGCUGUGCCUAUCGAGGGAACAAUAGUAUUAAAGGAAUCACAAUUAAGCAGAUAGUGGUGUUCCGUGCCAACUUGACCUGAGUUACAUAGCCUACAUAGGUUAGCAGUCCUGAAUUGGAAAAGGGAAGGUGCUGGUGACGGCUUGAGGGAAGACUGAUUGCAUCUUUCCAGUGAUAUGCUCUAUCGUCUGCUGUGAACGGGGAUUGAAGGAUGGUUCUUCGCCCCCACUGGCUUAAUGGGUAUGGUUGCUGUCAGCCGAGGUUCUUCCAGGGUUGAGGAGCUGAGGAAUGCUCCUGGGGAUUACAAUGUCCUCGGUACGCGAAGUAUCCCAGGGACGUUGGAUGCUGGGCAUAGCAGGCUGUGUGUUCAGUGGAGUUCUUGGAGAUACUGGGGGAUGUUUAUGAGGAUGUGCUUUUGAAGGAUGAGGAAAAGCAGACUGCGAGCGUCUUGAUGCAUGUCCUGAGUUUGGAGUUCGAGUAUUGGGAUUUAUGACCAUAGUUGUGUUCCUCGGUUUGGCAGAGGUUAUGGUAGACCCUGGCGACAGCAGUUUUAGUAGACUCUGGCGGGCUUUUGUUCGAGGGAGUUAUGACCGCAGUUAUGUUCCUCGGAUUGGCAGAGGUUGUGAGAGACUCAGGCGUGAUAUUAUUCCAAGCCCUUUGAUGAUGAGGGACACUGUGUGCCUGCUUCAUCCGGAACACUUCGGGGGACGCGCUUACUCUAUUACCAUGGAGAGUUGAGUACCAGUCAGGAAAUAUGUCCUCAACUACCCUUCCAUUCGAAACUAUUUUAGCAGGAAAGACAAGUGAGACUUUGCUGCGUGGAUUACUUUAAAGGAGUUUUUUGUAUUUUGGCCAGAGCGUUUUCCGAGCUUGUGUGAUUUCUUUAGGAUAGUCUCUGUUUAUGCUAAAGAUUGACGCUCUUAACCGAUUUGCAUGAGAGAGAAUAUUUACUGUAUCUUGAAAGUCCAGAAAGUUCACGAUGAUACCCCUGUUGGUGCCCCUUGAGAAUCUUCUAAGGCGGUGCGCUCGCUGGAUUCGUGGAUGAUGUGUUAUAUGGAGCUGUUCAACGAGAAAUUGAGCUAUGACUUAAAAACAGUUUUCAUUUCUUUGCUCAACUAUUCCACCAAAUAUGAGAUUUUUUCUUCGACUCCUUGCCUCAAUGUCAAUGGAUUUGUAUUCAAGGAGUUUUAAACGUUGAUUUUGUUCUGACAGCGAAACUUCUACUGAUGUAAAUUUUGUAUGCAUCUUUAAACAUGUAUCAACCUUGUGAUCAAAAUGCUUCAUUUGUUUAAAUAUUUCUGUCACUUUUCCAUCAAGUGAU